AACGAACGCUGGCGGCAUGCCUAACACAUGCAAGUCGAACGAGAUCUUCGGGUCUAGUGGCGCACGGGUGCGUAACGCGUGGGAAUCUGCCCUUUGGUUCGGAAUAACAGUUGGAAUCGACUGCUAAUACCGGAUGAUGACGAAAGUCCAAAGAUUUAUCGCCAGAGGAUGAGCCCGCGUAGGAUUAGCUAGUUGGUGUGGUAAAGGCGCACCAAGGCGACGAUCCUUAGCUGGUCUGAGAGGAUGAUCAGCCACACUGGGACUGAGACACGGACCAGACUCCUACGGGAGUCAGCAGUGGAGAAUAUUGGACAAUGGGCGAAAGCCUGAUCCAGCAAUGCCGCGUGAGUGAUGAAGGCCUUAGGGUUGUAAAGCUCUUUUACCCGGGAUGAUAAUGACAGUACCGGGAGAAUAAGCUCCGGCUAACUCCGUGCCAGCAGCCGCGGUAA
rnacentral:rRNA from 1 species